GACCGCAUCACGUUCAAACACCAAUUACCCUACAAUCGCCGAAAUUAAACAACGUCGAGCCUGGUUAGUACCUUGAUGGGUGACCGCUUGGAAAUACCAGGUGUUGUAU